rnacentral:tRNA from 1 species
GUGAAUAUGGCUUAGUGGUAGAGUACUUGCCUAGCAUGCAUGAAGCCUUGGGUUCAAUCUCUCAGUACCACA